ACGCACGCUGGCGGCAUGCCUAACACAUGCAAGUCGAACGAGACCUUCGGGUCUAGUGGCGCACGGGUGCGUAACGCGUGGGAACCUGCCCUUAGGUUCGGAAUAACUCCCCGAAAGGGGUGCUAAUACCGGAUAAUGUCUUCGGACCAAAGAUUUAUCGCCUUUGGAUGGGCCCGCGUUGGAUUAGCUAGUUGGUAGGGUAAAAGCCUACCAAGGCGACGAUCCAUGGCUGGUCUGAGAGGAUGAUCAGCCACACUGGGACUGAGACACGGCCCAGACUCCUACGGGAGGCAGCAGUGGGGAAUAUUGGACAAUGGGCGAAAGCCUGAUCCAGCAAUGCCGCGUGAGUGAUGAAGGCCUUAGGGUUGUAAAGCUCUUUUACCCGGGAUGAUAAUGACAGUACCGGGAGAAUAAGCUCCGGCUAACUCCGUG
rnacentral:rRNA from 1 species